AUCCAGCUGACGAGUCCCAUAUAGGUCGAAACGCGAGUCGUGGAU
rfam:Schistosoma mansoni strain Puerto Rico chromosome W, complete genome